AGCAGCCGCGGUAAUUCCAGCUCCAAUAGCGUAUAUUAAAGUUGUUGCAGUUAAAAAGCUCGUAGUUGAAUUUCGGGAUUGACACAUCGGUCGUGCCUUAAGGGGUAUGAACUGGUGUAGUCAAUUUCUCACCUUCUGGAGAACCGCGAUGCCCUUAAUUGGGUGUCGCGGGGAACCAGGACCUUUACUUUGAAAAAAUUAGAGUGUUUAAAGCAGGCAUUUUGCUUGAAUACAUUAGCAUGGAAUAAUAAAAUAGGACGGCAUGAUUCUAUUUUGUUGGUUUCUAGGAUCACCGUAAUGAUUAAUAGGGAUAGUUGGGGGCAUUAGUAUUCAAUUGUCAGAGGUGAAAUUCUUGGAUUUAUUGAAGACUAACUACUGCGAAAGCAUUUGCCAAGGAUGUUUUCAUUAAUCAAGAACGAAAGUUAGGGGAUCGAAGACGAUCAGAUACCGUCGUAGUCUUAACCAUAAACUAUGCCGACUAGGAAUCAGACGAUGUUAAUUUUUAAUGUACUCGUUGGCA
rnacentral:misc_RNA from 1 species